rnacentral:rRNA from 1 species
CGGGACGGGUGAGUAAUGUCUGGGAAACUGCCUGAUGGAGGGGGAUAACUACUGGAAACGGUAGCUAAUACCGCAUAACGUCGCAAGACCAAAGAGGGGGACCUUCCGGGCCUCUUGCCAUCGGAUGUGCCCAGAUGGGAUUAGCUAGUAGGUGGGGUAACGGCUCACCUAGGCGACGAUCCCUAGCUGGUCUGAGAGGAUGACCAGCCACACUGGAACUGAGACACGGUCCAG